GCCUGGCUCCACCUCUCCUAGACCCAUUUAAGAGCUGACUACCAGCAGGGAAGGAUCUUUUCUCUGAAGAUCCACUCCUGGAGUUUCCUGAGUGAGCCCACGAUAUGGGGCACAUCAGGGUGUUUCUGUGUGUGUUUUGUAACAUCAGCAACACAAUCAGAUCCCAGACAUUACUAUUUAUUGCUUGGUGAGGAUGACACAGCCUUCACAGAACUGUCUGUUUGCAUCUCAUCAGCCUGAACAAGCCUGUUGGAGAACAGAAGCAGCUCUGGACUGGCUGCAACUGCAACAAGCAGACUGAGGGGAAGAGGUGGAGAAAGGCAAACCCUGGGAAUAAAUUCAGCAGAGAAAACUGGGAUAACACUGGAAAUAUCAUCCCACUGAGAAUCUAAAAAUAAGUUUGGGCUUGAGUCUGUGUUGUUGUCCUCCUCUUCUGCCCUAGGAACUACUUCUUGAUAUUUCCCUCUGUAUAAUCAAUGAAAAUUAUAUAAAGGAAUAUUAUACAAUCAAA